rnacentral:rRNA from 1 species
GACGAACGCUGGCGGCGUGCCUAAUACAUGCAAGUUGAGCGCUGAAGGUUGGUCCUUGUACCAACUGGAUGAGCAGCGAACGGGUGAGUAACGCGUGGGGAAUCUGCCUUUGAGCGGGGGACAACAUUUGGAAACGAAUGCUAAUACCGCAUAAAAACUUUAAACACAAGUUUUAAGUUUGAAAGAUGCAAUUGCAUCACUCAAAGAUGAUCCCGCGUUGUAUUAGCUAGUUGGUGAGGUAAAGGCUCACCAAGGCGAUGAUACAUAGCCGACCUGAGAGGGUGAUCGGCCACAUUGGGACUGAGACACGGUCCAAACUCCUACGGGAGGCAGCAGUAGGGAAUCGUCGGCAAUGGACGAGAGUCUGACCGAGCAACGCCGCGUGAGUGAAGAAGGUUUUCGGAUCGUAAAACUCGGUUGGUAGAGAAGAACGUUGGUGAGAGUGGAAAGCUCAUCAAGUGACGGUAACUACCCAGAAAGGGACGGCUAACUACGUG